AUAAGAUCGAGUGAAAAAAAGCAGGUUUCCCAUACAUCUCGCCUUCUCGCUAUCACGCAUUAGUUUCGCUUCCCCACCCACCAUUUUUAAAAAGACCCGAAGGAGUUCAUUGCCUUCUUGAAUUAUGCAGAAACGGGCAGCGUGGAUCUCAUGUCAUUAAUUUUGUUGGAAAGGGGAGAAAUUGUACUUUACAAUGGUAUUGAUAUUACAGUUGAUCUGGAAGUAUUACGUUUUUGGGGCGAUAAAAUAAGGUCAAUUGUACGGACCAAGGCGGUGUACAAAAGUGAGUGAGUUUACGUUAACCCACCAGGUGAUAUUUAGCUAGCUAGCUAGUUAACAUUAGCUCACCGUUCAUGUAGUCAGACAUUACUAUGUGGUGACAGGCUAGUUAACUAUCCUUGCCCUGGUCCGUGCUAACGUUAACUAGCAUGUCACCACUUGGAAAAGUCUUGACUACAUGAACGGUGAGUUAACGUUAACUAGCUAGAUAGCCAAAUAUCCCUGCCCUGGUGGGCUAACGUUAGCUUGCAUGUCACCACGUUGAAAAGUAUGACUACACGAAUUAUGAGCUAAGGUUAACUAGCUGGCUAGCUCACAAAGGACAAUAAUAAAAGGUCACAACAGUCAUUAUGCUAGCUUAUGCUUGUUUUCUUUUUACUUGUGUAACUGAUGUGAAAUGGCUAGCUAGAUAGCGGGGUGCGCGCUAAUAGCGUUUCAAUCGGUGACGUCACUCGCUCUGAGACCUUGAAGUAGUUGUUCCCCUUGCUCUGCAAGAGCCGCGGCUUUUGUGGAGCGAUGGGUAAUGAUGCUUCGAGGGUGGCUGUUGUUGAUGUGUGCAGAGGGUCCCUGGUUAGAACCCAGGUAGGGGCGAGGAGAGGGACGGAAGCUAAACUGUUACACUUGUAAGGAAGGUAAAAUGCCUUAUACACUUUACAGUCGGUGGUUAUCUAACUUAGCUAAUUUUCAUUAGCACCUAGCUAACCACAGAUCUUUGUCUUAUUACCCAAAAUAGUUUGUUAUAAGCUAAAAAACAGGGCUUACCAUAUCACACGGCUCCAGCGACGCUUCUCGCUUACAGAGGUUGGAAAACGAUAAAAUGCAUGUGUGCUUAUCAGAGUAGUGGAUAAAAUCCGGUACAUAGCACAGAAUCAUCCUUGCUUCUGAUCGACAGAGAUACCUAAGGUUAGCUAGCUAGCUUUAUAGGCCAGGGUAAUUAAACAAAUCCUAGUGUAACCGAUGUGAAAUGGCUAGUUAGUUAGCGGUGGUGCGCGCUAAUAGCGUUUCAAUCAGGGGGCCGCAGCUUUUGUGGCGCGAUGAGUAACGAUGCUUCGUGGGGUGUCAGUUGUUGAUGUGUGCAAGGGUCCCUGGUUCGAGCCCGGGUUGGGGCGAAGAGAGGGACGGAACCUACACUGUUACACUAGUAAUAAAAAAAUGCUAAGGAUCUGCAGAGAAUAAUAGGAGAAACUCCCCAAAUACAGGUGUGCCAAGCUUGUAGCAUCAUACCCAAGAAGACUGGAGGCUGUAGUCGCUGCCAAAGGUGCUUCAACAAAGUACUAAGUAAAUGUUCUGAAUAUUGUAAAUGUGAUAUUUCAGUUUUAUAUUUUUAACAAGUUUGCAAAAAUGUAUAAAAAAUUGUUUUUGCUUUGUCAUUAUGG
rnacentral:lncRNA from 1 species